rnacentral:rRNA from 1 species
GUAGGGUGCAAGCGUUGUCCGGAAUUACUGGGCGUAAAGAGUUCGUAGGCGGUUUGUCGCGUCGUUUGUGAAAACCAGCAGCUCAACUGCUGGCUUGCAGGCGAUACGGGCAGACUUGAGUACUGCAGGGGAGACUGGAAUUCCUGGUGUAGCGGUGAAAUGCGCAGAUAUCAGGAGGAACACCAGUGGCGAAGGCGGGUCUCUGGGCAGUAACUGACGCUGAGGAACGAAAGCGUGGGUAGCGAACAGGAUUAGAUACCCUGGUAGUCCACGCCGUAAACGGUGGGCGCUAGGUGUGGGUUCCUUCCACGGAAUCCGUGCCGUAGCUAACGCAUUAAGCGCCCCGCCUGGGGAGU